GAUGCGGUUUUCGCUUUGCUCGAGUGCCAGCUGAUGGUGAAGUGACAUUGCUAUUCCCCAGCGGUCCUGAGUUAAUGGAAGAAUGUUGCCGCUUGUCCCCUUUGCAGACAUACAUCGUGGUUUUCUACCUUUUGUCCCCCGAGCCGGUGAUGCUGGCAGCUAACAUCUCCGAGGAGCGCUCGAUUCCUCAGAGCACUGAUCUUCCAAAACUAUUCACCGAAGCAGAAGUAACACAGGCAGCUCACGUGCCUCGAGUGUGCGCUCACUGCGGUCUGUGAGAGGCAGUUGUCAGAGGCGAUGACAGUCAUCCCCAGACACGGUUAAUUCUCUGCUAUUGCAAACGCCAAUAGCUUAUUUUAAAUCACUGGCUCUCCGAGCACUUAGGUCCGUUGAGGACGUGCUCAGAAUUCCUGCUGCCUGCGUUUGCGUUGAGGCUCCACGAGUCACAAACGGGUCGGUUGGCGCUGUGCUGGGAUGGCUCCCAGCCCGGGUUGCUGCAGGAGUCGUUCUCUGCAGCUCCCGUGUGGCUCGGGGCUCGUGCUGCACCUCCAGAAAAGUGAGAAGAGCUGUCUGUUGUCUAGACGGCUUCUGAUUAUCAGAUAACCUCCGUGUGUUUUGUGAGGGUAUGGGUGUUACCAUUCGGAGAAACUGAGACUCGAUGGCUGAAGAGUGCAUGACACAGGCUGACAAGUGGCAUAACAUAAGCAUUCCAAUAAAUGACAGAGGCAAAACUUGGAAGACAGCAAGAUGGAACAGUACAGACUGUUGGAUACCUGCCUAGGAAAGAAAAAGCAUUGAACACACAUUAUAUUUGAGUCCAAAGAAGACUUCCAGGAACUCAAAAAACCAUGCACCUUGACAGAAGCAGUAACUGCUGUUCUGUGGAUAAAGUGGAUAGGAUACCCUAUGGAGAAGAAUGUUCGUAAGUUGAAAACUGCUCACUUCAACCUUUAAACAUAUUUUUCUUAUGUUUUAUGAAGUUUGCUUUGCAGUUCUUAGAAGUUUGCUGCUGGUAUGUUGCUAUUGCACUCUCAAGGCUAUAAAAUCAUCAGAGAAAAGUCAACGGUAGUCUCUUUGUUGGAAUUUUGUGUGUGUGUGUGUGUGUGUGGCUUUUGUGUAACUUGAUACCAAAUUUGAGACUGUAAUAUUUAAUUUGCUGAAGUGAUUCUAAAGAAAACAGAGAGCAGGAGAAAUACUCCAGGAAAACUGCUAGACAAACAAACCUGUGUAUGAUUGUGUUCCUAAGGUUUUGUGAGCUGUCUUUCACUCUAAGACAUUCAAAAACUAUGCAUCCUCUGAUCUGCAGGGAGCAUUUUAAGUUAAUCUAUUUACAUCACAUUCAAUCACCAGCAGCAAUGAAAAAUCUGGGAAAACAUGGUAAAGUCUGAUGAGGAACUUGGGGCUUUGCUCUUUCCCCCUUCUCUGUAUUUGCAGCAAAUUCCCUCCAAUUAAAAAAUAUUUUUUAUAGUCCUUUGGCUAGUUAUUAUAGAGGUUACCCUCCCAAAGGAAUCAUCAAAACAAGAUUUUCUGAAUGCACAGAAAUUGGACAGCUUACUAUAGGUGCAAGAUAAACACGAUUCCUCUUCUCCAGUUUAAUACUAAUGACUGUUAGCUAUAUAUACCCUAGCCAA